AGUGAACGCUGGCGGUAGGCCUAACACAUGCAAGUCGAACGGCAGCACAGUAAGAGCUUGCUCUUACGGGUGGCGAGUGGCGGACGGGUGAGGAAUACAUCGGAAUCUACUUUUUCGUGGGGGAUAACGUAGGGAAACUUACGCUAAUACCGCAUACGACCUACGGGUGAAAGCAGGGGAUCUUCGGACCUUGCGCGAUUGAAUGAGCCGAUGUCGGAUUAGCUAGUUGGCGGGGUAAAGGCCCACCAAGGCGACGAUCCGUAGCUGGUCUGAGAGGAUGAUCAGCCACACUGGAACUGAGACACGGUCCAGACUCCUACGGGAGGCAGCAGUGGGGAAUACUGGACAAUGGGCGCAAGCCUGAUCCAGCCAUACCGCGUGGGUGAAGAAGGCCUUCGGGUUGUAAAGCCCUUUUGUUGGGAACGAAAAGCAGCAGGUUAAUACCCCGCUGUUCUGACGGUACCCAAAGAAUAAGCACCGGCUAACUUCGUG
rnacentral:rRNA from 1 species